rnacentral:rRNA from 1 species
GGGCCCGCACAAGCAGUGGAGCAUGUGGUUUAAUUCGAUGCAACGCGAAGAACCUUACCAGGUCUUGACAUCCCUUGCAAUGCUGUAGAGAUACAGUGGAGGUUAUCAAGGAGACAGGUGGUGCAUGGUUGUCGUCAGCUCGUGUCGUGAGAUGUUGGGUUAAGUCCCGCAACGAGCGCAACCCUUAUUGCUAGUUGCCAUCAUUUAGUUGGGGACUCUAGCGAGACUGCCAGUGAUAAACUGGAGGAAGGUGGGGAUGACGUCAAAUCAUCAUGCCCCUUAUGACCUGGGCUACAAACGUGAUACAAUGGCUAUUACAGAGGGCCGCAAAGCUGUGAAGUGAAGCUAAACCCUUAAAAAUAGUCUCAGUUCGGAUUGAAGUCUGCAACUCGACUUCAUGAAGCCGGAAUCGCUAGUAAUCG